UUUUCAGAAGUUGAUACACACCAUCAGCUACGGAUGGACCUUGCUAAUAUGUCUCUGUGUAAUGUGAACACAUCAUCUCAACAUCCUUUGUGAACAGCAUGGUACCCCUGGGCAAUCUGUCUUUUAUGAUACUUCUAACACACCAGUGAUACAAGCUAUGGUUACCUUGGAACUAAGGAUCCAUCAUGAAUAAGAGGAGGAAGAGAAGGGGGCUGAUGUUCAGAAGAGAGGUGAAGAGCUCCUCUGCAAAGCAUGGCUGGAGGUAUGAAAGAUACAGCUGGCAGUUUACAGCUGCUUUGCUGAAAUAAUGAGGCUCGAGUUGCAGGAGCAGACUGCCUAAAAUGGGCAUUAUGAGUUUUCUUUAUUAGGGACAGGAUGGGAAAGCAGGGAGAAGCAGCGCUUCCCUGUGCUUUGUUCCUGUUGCUUGACAACUUCUGUCCUUGAAGUGUUCUCCCCGACUAUGGGGACGGUGUGCAGGCUCUCUGAGGUGGGGAGAGGAGCGUGGAGCUGAGCACACCCAGGGAAACGUGGUUGCAGCAAAUUUGAUUGUUUAAAAAUAAUCUAGGGUAAUUUUGUCAGGGAAGUAAGAUUCAAUUGGACACAAGGAUUUAAACUUAAAUUGGAAGGGAUUUUAAGCGUUAUUACUAAAUUCCCUGUAUAACACAUUAGUCACAGCACAGGGAAUCCUGAUUUAACCUAAUGAGGUACAGACUGACCAGAUUUUCAAAAUGAAAUAAUGGGAUCUCUGGGUAUGGGGGAGGAACUGGGUUCGGUCACAGAGAUUUGGGGUGA